AUCGUACCCCAAACCGACACAGGUGGUCAGGUAGAGAAUACCAAGGCGCUUGAGAGAACUCGGGUGAAGGAACUAGGCAAAAUGGUGCCGUAACUUCGGGAGAAGGCACGCUGAUACGUAGGUGAAGUCCCUUGCGGAUGGAGCUGAAAUCAGUCGAAGAUACCAGCUGGCUGCAACUGUUUAUUAAAAACACAGCACUGUGCAAACACGAAAGUGGACGUAUACGGUGUGACGCCUGCCCGGUGCCGGAAGGUUAAUUGAUGGG
rnacentral:rRNA from 1 species